rnacentral:rRNA from 1 species
AUUGAACGCUGGCGGCAUGCCUUACACAUGCAAGUCGAACGGCAGCACGGGAGCAAUCCUGGUGGCGAGUGGCGAACGGGUGAGUAAUACAUCGGAACGUGCCCAAUCGUGGGGGAUAACGCAGCGAAAGCUGUGCUAAUACCGCAUACGAUCUACGGAUGAAAGCAGGGGAUCGCAAGACCUUGCGCGAAUGGAGCGGCCGAUGGCAGAUUAGGUAGUUGGUGAGGUAAAGGCUCACCAAGCCGUCGAUCUGUAGCUGGUCUGAGAGGACGACCAGCCACACUGGGACUGAGACACGGCCCAGACUCCUACGGGAGGCAGCAGUGGGGAAUUUUGGACAAUGGGCGAAAGCCUGAUCCAGCCAUGCCGCGUGCAGGAUGAAGGCCUUCGGGUUGUAAACUGCUUUUGUACGGAACGAAACGGCCUUUUCUAAUAAAGAGGGCUAAUGACGGUACCGUAAGAAUAAGCACCGGCUAACUACGUGCCAGCAGCCGCGGUAAUACGUAGGGUGCAAGCGUUAAUCGGAAUUACUGGGCGUAAAGCGUGCGCAGGCGGUUAUGUAAGACAGUUGUGAAAUCCCCGGGCUCAACCUGGGAACUGCAUCUGUGACUGCAUAGCUAGAGUACGGUAGAGGGGGGAUGGAAUUCCGCGUGUACAAUGAAUGCGUAGAUAUGUGGAGGAACACCGAUGGCGAAGGCAAUCCCUGGACUCUAUGU